rnacentral:rRNA from 1 species
AGUGAACGCUGGCGGUAGGCUUAACACAUGCAAGUCGAACGGCAGCACAGUAAGAGCUUGCUCUUACGGGUGGCGAGUGGCGGACGGGUGAGGAAUACAUCGGAAUCUACUUUUUCGUGGGGGUUAACGUAGGGAAACUUACGAUAAUACCGCAUACGACCUACGGGUGAAAGCAGGGGAUCUUCGGACCUUGCGCGAUUGAAUGAGCCGAUGUCGGAUUAGCUAGUUGGCGGGGUAAAGGCCCACCAAGGCGACGAUCCGUAGCUGGUCUGAGAGGAUGAUCAGCCACACUGGAACGGAGACACGGUCCAGACGCCUACGGGAGGCAGCAGUGGGGAAUAUGGGACAAUGGGCGCAAGCCUGAUCCAGCCAUACCGCGUGGGUGAAGAAGGCCUUCGGGUUGUAAAGCCCUUUUGUUGGGAAAGAAAAGCAGCAGGUUAAUACCCCGCUGUUCUGACGGUACCCAAAGAAUAAGCACCGGCUAACUUCGUG